GACGAACGCUGGCGGCGUGCCUAACACAUGCAAGUCGAACGGAAAGGCGCUGCUCUUGUGGGGCGCUCGUGUGGCGAACGGGUGAGUAACACGCGAGUAACCUGUCCCUGACUUUGGGAUAACACUUGGAAACAGGGGCUAAUAUCGGAUAGGAGCUUUUGCUGCACGGUGGGGGUUGGAAAGAUUCGGUGGUUGGGGAUGGACUCGCGGCUUAUCAGCUUGUUGGUGGGGUAGUGGAUUACCAAGGCUUUGACGGAUAGCCGGCCUGGGAGGGUGGCCGGCCACAUUGGGACUGAGGUACGGCCCAGACUCGUACGGGAGGCAGCAGUGGGGAAUAUUGCACAAUAGGCGGGAGCCUGAUGCGGCAGCGCCGCGUGCGGAAUGACGGCCUACGGGUUGUAAACCGCUUUCGCCUGAGACGAAGCGUGAGUGACGGUAAUGGGUAAAGAAGCACCGGCUAACUACGUG
rnacentral:rRNA from 1 species